rnacentral:lncRNA from 10 species
CGCCCACAGCCCGGCCCGAGUCGCGGGGCCCGAGCGACAGCGACGGCGCCGGCCGGGGCCGCGGCGCGCGGAAGCCACUUUGCACGGUCAGCGCCGGGCACAAGUUUGUUCCGCGGCUCCCGGGGGCCUGGGCGCUGAGGGAGAAUCGCGCUGAGGGGGCCAGGAGGAGGGGGAGAGGGAGGCGCCGAAGGGCACAAGAGUGGGGAAAAGUGCGGAAAGAAGCAACAGCCGCUCCACCCGGGACCAGAAAAGUGGCCAGUGCGUCCCGGCCGCCCGCCCUGCGCCGGGGAUGCGGCGGCGUCGGCGCCGGCUAACGGUCCAGGGAGGCGGCAGGGGCGGCGGGAGCCGCUAGGCGGAGAGAGACCAGGGACGCCUGGUUUCCCCCCAAGCGAACCGGGAUGGGAAGUGACUUCAAUGAGAUUGAACUUCAGCUGGAUUGAAAGAGAGGCUAGAAGU